CGCCAUUGACAAUCGGUGUGAUAGAGACGUAAUGCAUCAGAAAGCGAAAGUGAAAAUAGUCUUCUGUAGUUUCCUUCUAAACUUUUGUAACUUUAAAAGAGAAGAGAACAUUCAUACAAAGGUAGCCUACAUCUCCCGAGCUAGAACAUCAACCUUGAAUGGCAUCUGGUCCGGAAUCUGGGUCUUCUUCUGGCCAACCCUUCAACAUCUCAGCCAAUAAUGUCAACGCUCCCAUAAUGACUGGUAACACCAUUGGGGCAAUCCAUUAUCAUACAGGCCCUUUGUCUGCGGCACCCCAGCACACCAGCCCCUCCGGCCCCAUGAUGUCAUCAGUUCAUGAUUUCCUGAAAACACACAAGAAUGAUCUGGAGAACAGGAUGGGCAACCUUCGUCCCAUCCUCAGCAAUCUCAUAGACCUUGGGGUUCUGAGUGAGGAGGAUAGAGAGGAGAUAGAGAUCAAAACCACACGGACCAAGAAAAAUGAAGCUCUGCUGACCAUGGUUAUUAACAAGGGGAAAACUGCACAGGAACAUUUUUACCAGGCCCUGAAAAAAGCAGACCGUUACUUGGUGAAAGACCUAGAGGGAUAAACUACCUCCUGAUACACUGCUGUAUCCAUAAUUGCCUAUUCCAUUCCGUUAUGAAAUAAGACCAAAUGUUUACAAAUAAAUCAUCCAAAUUAGGAUAGUUUAUUUAAAUUCCAUUAUAACAUGAUUUAGAAAGGUAAUUCCAACGACAUUAUCUUAUCUGUCAUACCAUGAAUCAAUACAAUUUAUCUUUGUAUGUUCUUGUGUCUAGGGUUGAUGUGGCCCUAGCUGCACUGCAGAUAUAUUUUGAUUUGGUGUUACACUUUUUCAUUACAUGAACCUAGGCCUAAUACUGGUCUCCUUCAGCUCCCUCCUGCUGUGUGUUGUUGCUUACAUUUUCUUGUCUUAUUUGGCAAUAAUAAUGUAUGCUGUAGAAAGUAUUCACACCUUUUGACUUUUUUCCACAUGAUCUUGUGUUCCAAAGUGGAAUUAAAAUGGAUGUAAUAGUAA